rnacentral:rRNA from 1 species
UACGGGGGGGGCAAGCGUUGUUCGGAAUUACUGGGCGUAAAGGGCGCGUAGGCGGUUCGCUAAGUCGGAUGUGAAAACUCUGGGCUCAACCCAGAGCCUGCAUCCGAAACUGGCGGGCUAGAGUUCUGGAGGGGGUAGCGGAAUUCCUGGUGUAGCGGUGAAAUGCGUAGAUAUCUGGAGGAACACCGGUGGCGAAGGCGGCAUCCUGGACCAACACUGACGCUGAUGAGCGAAAGCCAGGGGAGCAAACGGG